UAUGCCUUCUGUACCACAUGGUACAAGCCGAACAUCUCUCCUGAACCUUGCUAUGAAGAUGAACUCUAUCACUGGGUGGAGGUGAAACUCACUGCUCACGACUUCUAUUGUGAUUCUGAAGGCAAUAGCAUGGUCUUGAUCAAACUACCUUCAGAACUCAAGUAUUUAUACCGUCAUUGGGAUACUGCUAUUCCACAUGUCCCUGUUACCAAGUUGAAAACAAAAUCAUGGAAUGAUCUCGGGCCCAUGGCGAAAUUAUGGGCCACCAUGGAUGACUCGAAGUUACAGG